UAGGGAAUCUUCCGCAAUGGGCGAAAGCUUGACGGAGCAACGCCGCGUGAGUGAUGAAGGUCUUCGGAUCGUAAAACUCUGUUAUUAGGGAAGAACAAAUGUGUAAGUAACUAUGCACGUCUUGACGGUACCUAAUCAGAAAGCCACGGCUAACUACGUGCCAGCAGCCGCGGUAAUACGUAGGUGGCAAGCGUUAUCCGGAAUUAUUGGGCGUAAAGCGCGCGUAGGCGGUUUUUUAAGUCUGAUGUGAAAGCCCACGGCUCAACCGUGGAGGGUCAUUGGAAACUGGAAAACUUGAGUGCAGAAGAGGAAAGUGGAAUUCCAUGUGUAGCGGUGAAAUGCGCAGAGAUAUGGAGGAACACCAGUGGCGAAGGCGACUUUCUGGUCUGAAACUGACGCUGAUGUGCGAAAGCGUGGGGAUCAAACAGG
rnacentral:rRNA from 1 species